rnacentral:rRNA from 1 species
AUUGAACGCUGGCGGCAUGCUUUACACAUGCAAGCCGAACGGCAGCGCGGGCUUCGGCCUGGCGGCGAGUGGCGAACGGGUGAGUAAUGCAUCGGAACGUGCCCAGUAGUGGGGGAUAGCCCAGCGAAAGCCGGAUUAAUACCGCAUACGACCUGAGGGUGAAAGCGGGGGACCGAAAGGCCUCGCGCUAUUGGAGCGGCCGAUGUCGGAUUAGCUAGUUGGUGGGGUAAAGGCUUACCAAGGCGACGAUCCGUAGCUGGUCUGAGAGGACGACCAGCCACACUGGGACUGAGACACGGCCCAGACUCCUACGGGAGGCAGCAGUGGGGAAUUUUGGACAAUGGGGGCAACCCUGAUCCAGCCAUGCCGCGUGCGGGAAGAAGGCCUUCGGGUUGUAAACCGCUUUUGUUCGGGAAGAAAUCCUCUGGGCUAAUACCCCGGGGGGAUGACGGUACCGGAAGAAUAAGCACCGGCUAACUACGUG